rnacentral:rRNA from 1 species
UACAGAGGGUGCGAGCGUUAAUCGGAAUUACUGGGCGUAAAGCGUGCGUAGACGGUUAUGUAAGUCAGAUGUGAAAGCCCCGGGCUCAACCUGGGAAUUGCAUUUGAGACUGCAUAGCUAGGGUGCGGAAGAGGGAAGCGGAAUUUCCGGUGUAGCGGUGAAAUGCGUAGAUAUCAGGAGGAACACCGGUGGCGAAGGCGGCUUGCUGGGCCUUACCUGACGCUGGAGGAGCGAAAGCGUGGGGAGCGAACAGG